GGGCCCGUAGCUCAAAGGCAGAGCCGCGGACUCAUAAUCCGUCGGUUGCUGGUUCGAGUCCAGCCGGGCCCACCA
rnacentral:tRNA from 1 species